rnacentral:rRNA from 1 species
AGCGAACGCUGGCGGCAGGCCUAACACAUGCAAGUCGAACGAACCUUUCGGGGUUAGUGGCGUACGGGUGAGUAACACGUGGGAACGUGCCUUUAGGUUCGGAAUAACUCAGGGAAACUUGUGCUAAUACCGAAUGUGCCCUUCGGGGGAAAGAUUAAUCGCCUUUAGAGCGGCCCGCGUCUGAUUAGCUAGUUGGUUGAGGUAAUGGCUCACCAAGGCGACGAUCAGUAGCUGGUCUGAGAGGAUGAUCAGCCACAUUGGGACUGAGACACGGCCCAAAAUCCUACGGGAGGCAGCAGUGGGGAAUCUUGCGCAAUGGGCGAAAGCAUGACGCAGCCAUGCCGCGUGAAUGAUGAAGGUCUUAGGAUUGUAAAAUUCUUUCAACGGGGACGAUAAUGACGGUACCCGGAGAAGAAGCCCCGGCUAACUUCGUG